UACGUAGGGUGCAAGCGUUGUCCGGAAUUAUUGGGCGUAAAGAGCUCGUAGGCGGUUUGUCGCGUCCGCUGUGAAAACUCAGGGCUUAACCCUGAGCCUGCAGUGGGUACGGGCAGCCUAGAGUGUGGUAGGGGAGAUCGGAAUUCCUGGUGUAGCGGUGGAAUGCGCAGAUAUCAGGAGGAACACCAAUGGCGAAGGCAGCACUCUGGGACGGUACUGACGCUGAGACGCGAAAGCGUGGGGAGCAAACAGG
rnacentral:rRNA from 1 species